AUGGGUCAAUUGAUCAAUGCUCCAAAAGAAAGUGAAGAUGACUUGGAUGUCUAUGCCAAGAAGAAGAAGGAUCACAACUCCAUGGCUAGCAUGUACAGAGAGAUCCCAGAUGCUGCAUUGGAAACUCAUAAGUUUGGAUCUGUCCACUAUUUGUUGUCUGGUUUACCUACCAUCAACUUGAUUCUAAGGCACACUUUGCUACACAAGUCAGGUGAUCACAAGAUGAUUAGAGUACAUGCUAUCAACUUGUUGCAUAUAUUUGAUGUGCCUCAAAAGUUUAAAGUCAUGAGUCUGAUUGUGGAGACAAUCAAAAGGACUGCUGCUGAUCAGAAGAGAUCUUGUGGGUAUGCCCCACACAUUCUGGAGCUCAUUAACUCCAAGAAGGGCAAAGACAAAUAUCUAUUGGAUAAGGAGCACCUGCCCAUCUACCCAGACUUUGAGGACAACACUGUUGUCAUGGAUGAGAAUGAACCAUCGUCUGCUCAAGCACAUGAGAAGAGAGAGAAGGCAAAGGCAGAGAAAACUGCAAAGAUGCCAACAGCUGAAGAAGCAACUCAGGAAUGGAGC
rnacentral:rRNA from 1 species